AAACUUUCCAAAGUCACAUAAACAAGAUAAUGGGAGAAAUUUGAGGAAAAAAGUAUAUUAAUCCAAAUAACCUCUUUACCUCCCUUAUCCCACUGGGUGGCGGGCGGUUCUGGGUUCUGAUGAGGGUCUGGGAAGUAGGCGAGGCAGAGGUAGGCGUGCUGGGAUCUGGGGAGGACCCCCAGAGAUGGAAGACACAGACCCCCUAGGAGUGGGAAUCUGCCUUACCCCCUGCUCAAGGCUGAGGCAAGGUUCCUGAGUGGAGCUGAGAAGGUGGCACACAGGAAACAUCACAGGGCUCCAACUCAGCCCAGAGUCCAAGGAAGAGUACCCAGUUAUUUUCCAUUACAGGGAAAUGGUGUUGGCUCAGACACCUGCGGCCUGAAGGGCAGAAGAGCAGUAGAAGUACCUGCCGUGUACAGGCAGAGCCUGGGGUGAGACGCCAAAGCAACCUUCAGCAAUUACCGCAGGGUCCAGAAUCUGCCUACAAGCAAGGACUUCCCUGGCCAGGAGUCAAGGAAGGCAGCCGGCCCUCAGGAGCUGCUGGGGCAGCAAACACUCUUGUCUCACAGCCUCCGGAAGGAAUGCAGCCUCGCCAAGUCUGGGAUGGGACUUGCCAGUUUCUUCUCCCCCACCUUCAAAGCCAGGCACACAGCAGCCACCAACCCUCCCUCCCCUUCAUCACAUCUCUCUAGCUCUGAGGCUCCCCUUUGUAGGGACCUCAUGAUGACCCUGGGUCACACAGCUAACCCAGGGUGACCCCAUCUCAACAGUCUUGCUUAGCCACAUCAGCAAAGCCCCUUCCGUGGUGGGAGGCAGCAUUCACAGCGCUCGGGGGCCAGGAUGUGGACACCUCAGGACACCCUUAUCUGCCUACCACAGAACAGCAGACACAAAAUGAACGGAGACCAGGAAAGAACUGGAAACCAGGUUCACUGCAGCUCCUUCGCCCUGACCCUUCAGUCAGCCCACAUCCUGGUGACUCUUCAAGAUGUGCACCAUGAGAGGCUCCAAUCUGUCACUGCUGGGGGCCUUGUGCCGAGGCACCAUGGGAAAACAAUUGUAGUCUGUCACACCAGGCCGGCUCUCUCUUUUAAAUAAGUAAAUAUCCAUCUGGCAUCUGAGG
rnacentral:lncRNA from 1 species